CCUACGGGAGGCUGCAGUGAGGAAUAUUGGUCAAUGGGCGCAAGCCUGAACCAGCCAUCCCGCGUGAAGGAAGAAGGCCCUACGGGUUGUAAACUUCUUUUCUGUUUGAAGAAUAAGCCCGUCGUGACGGGUGAUGCCGGUAGGACAGGAAUAAGCAUCGGCUAACUCCGUGCCAGCAGCCGCGGUAAUACGGAGGAUGCAAGCGUUAUCCGGAUUUAUUGGGUUUAAAGGGUGCGCAGGUGGUUGAAUAAGUCAGUGGUGAAAGUCUGUCGCUUAACGGUAGGAUUGCCAUUGAUACUGUUUAACUUGAAUAUGGAUGAGGUAGGCGGAAUGUGUAGUGUAGCGGUGAAAUGCAUAGAUAUUACACAGAACACCGAUUGCGAAGGCAGCUUACUAAUCCAUUAUUGACGCUGAGGCACGAAAGCGUGGGGAUCAAACAGGAUUAGAUACCCCGGUAGUC
rnacentral:rRNA from 1 species